AAACCUGAAAGAAAUUGCAACAUAUAAAUAGAAUGCGUGCCACAUUUUCAAGAACCAACAGAAGCAUGUGAGCACAAUGCUUGGAAGCUAUUAAACAAAAAAAACAAAUCCGGAGGACCUGGUGAAUUCCCCCUCAACCUGAUCUCAACUCUCUGUAUUGAUGGGAAAUUCAUGGGGGGCCAGUUGAGCAGGAGAGAGCCUACCAUUGAUCAUGGCCACGAUUGAGUUCAAUAAUCUCUACGAUUCCGGUUCAAAAGUUCAUGGGUAUAAUUUGCGUAAUGCUUCAGUUGCUUGUUAUAUUGUACGUUUGAAAAUAAUGUUCAUGUAGUUCUUGUUGGGACAAGGAUAGCUGGUCCCAAUUCAGGUACUGUCCGACAUAAUUAUUCCACUGGGUGUUAAUAUGA